GUACUCCAUUCAGCAGCACAUAAACUAAAAUCGAAAUGAUAGAGAAGAUUAGCAUGGCCCCUGCCCAAGGAUAACACACAAAUUUGUGAAGCGUUCCAUAUUUU
rnacentral:snRNA from 1 species